GCGCCCGUAGCUCAGCGGAUUAGAGCACCAGUCUUCGGAACUGGGUGUCGUGGGUUCGAAUCCCGCCGGGCGCGCCA
rnacentral:tRNA from 1 species